GACGAACGCUGGCGGCGUGCUUAACACAUGCAAGUCGAACGGAAAGGCCCUGCUUUUGUGGGGUGCUCGAGUGGCGAACGGGUGAGUAACACGUGAGUAACCUGCCCUUGACUUUGGGAUAACUUCAGGAAACUGGGGCUAAUACCGGAUAGGAGCUCCUGCUGCAUGGUGGGGGUUGGAAAGAUUCGGCGGUUGGGGAUGGACUCGCGGCUUAUCAGCUUGUUGGUGGGGUAGUGGCUUACCAAGGCUUUGACGGGUAGCCGGCCUGAGAGGGUGACCGGCCUCAUUGGGACUGAGAUACGGCCCAGACUCCUACGGGAGGCAGCAGUGGGGAAUAUUGCACAAUGGGCGGAAGCCUGAUGCAGCAGCGCCGCGUGCGGGAUGACGGCCUUCGGGUUGUAAACCGCUUUCGCCUGUGACGAAGCGUGAGUGACGGUAAUGGGUAAAGAAGCACCGGCUAACUACGUG
rnacentral:rRNA from 1 species